UGGAGGAUUUUAUGCAGAAUGCACAAGC
rnacentral:piRNA from 1 species